GUGGUGGCACAAAAUCGGAAGCCCCGACUGUUUACUAAAAACACAGCUAUCUGCAACGAUGUAAAUCAUAGUAUAGGUAGUGAGGUUUGCCCGAUGCCAUUAAUAUAAGAGAAGUGAUGGGUAACUGUUAAUUAUCGAAAAUCUGGUUAAUAGCGGUCUUAACUAUGAGGAUCCUAAGGUAGCAAAAUAAAUUGGCCAUUAAAUGUGGUCCGGUAUCAAUAAUUUAACGAUGGCUUCACUGUCUCUACAACUUGCUCAGUGAAAUUGAAUUACCCGUGCAGAUGCGGGUUGCCACCAGGGGGACCGGAAGA
rnacentral:rRNA from 1 species